rnacentral:lncRNA from 1 species
GAGUCUAAAACAGAAGAGCUGAGAAAUCAGUCUGUGGCCAUCGUGGACUGGAGCUCAUUGAGAUGGCAGCUUCUGCCCAGGGCCAAUCCACCCACCACUCUCCCUGCCCUUUGCCUAAUCGUCUUUAUUUUUUCCCUUUCCCUUUCUAAACUAUCUUCCAUUGUGGAUUUUGGAAUUACUGGCUGGAAUUACCCUUUUCUGAGGAACACCGCUACAUGUGAGCUAAUUCUGUGCAUCUCUCUUAAGGAAAGCGGCUCGGAGGUCCUCAGCCUAGAGAAGGGGCUCAAACACCUGAGGGGCCGAACGCCCGUGAGGUCGGGGAGGACGGUGGCCACUGCCCCGCCGGGCCGAGCCACAGCAGAGCCCCCGGCGCCGAGCGGGAGCGGCCGGGGCGGGCCGGGCCUCAGGGGAGCGGCCGCGGCGGCCCCCCCCCCCCCCCCCCCCCCCCCCCCCCCCCCCCCCCCCCCCCCCCCCCCCCCGGCGGGGCCUGCGAGGGGAGCUGCGGGGGCUGCUCGGAGCCGGGAAAUGACGGGGGGAGCCACCAGAACUGCUGGGGAAACGCUGGUUCAGCCUAAGUUAGUAGAAAGGAAUUUUGCAGCAUAGCCCUGCCACAGUCUUCAGCUGAGCUUGCAGAAGAUGGAGAGAGGCUUCAUUGAGUCUUCACAAUGGGAAGAAUUUUCUAAUUAAUAAUUAAGUGAGUUUAAAAGAAGCAACUGCAGCAAGAUUUUGCUAUGAAUCGACUGGUCUCAGGUAUGGUAUCAUAUUAAAGGCUGGGAAAAAUGUAGGCAUAAAAAGUCAGUGAAUUAUUAGAGCUAAAAAUUUAAUCAAUAAUUUUCACCUUGUAGACUGGUUUGUACAGAGCUCACAUUUUUCAAAGUUACUUCUGAAUAAGAUUUAAUAUGCAAAUUAUGUGUAUGUAUACAAGUCAUUGUGAGCAAAGACUACCUACUCAAAAUAUGUGUUAAAAAUUAAGCUGAGCAAUAUGAAGACAAAAUGAUAAUUAGAUUUAGGAGUUUAGCUGAACAUUCAAAGUAGUAUUUCUUUCCUUUUAGUGUUUGAAAGUAAUCUCAAGGUUCAUUACUGGUAAAGUACACAUAUUUUUGUCUAAUUCUAAAUUCCAAAAAGGAAAGGUGCCAUAAAAGGAUUGGUUUUUUUGGGCCAGUAUCA